rnacentral:rRNA from 1 species
GACGAACGCUGGCGGCGUGCUUAACACAUGCAAGUCGAACGGGAAGGCCCUGCUUUUGUGGGGUGCUCGAGUGGCGAACGGGUGAGUAACACGUGAGUAACCUGCCCUUGACUUUGGGAUAACUUCAGGAAACUGGGGCUAAUACCGGAUAGGAGCUCCUGCUGCAUGGUGGGGGUUGGAAAGUUUCGGCGGUUGGGUAUGGACUCGCGGCUUAUCAGCUUGUUGGUGGGGUAGUGGCUUAUCAAGGCUUUGACGGGUAGCCGGCCUGAGAGGGUGACCGGCCACAUUGGGACUGAGAUACGGCCCAGACUCCUACGGGAGGCAGCAGUGGGGAAUAUUGCACAAUGGGCGGAAGCCUGAUGCAGCAACGCCGCGUGCGGGAUGACGGCCUUCGGGUUGUAAACCGCUUUCGCCUGUGACGAAGCGUGAGUGACGGUAAUGGGUAAAGAAGCACCGGCUAACUACGUG